rnacentral:rRNA from 1 species
CCUACGGGUGGCAGCAGUGGGGAAUAUUGCACAAUGGGGGGAACCCUGAUGCAGCGACGCCGCGUGAGUGAAGAAGUAUCUCGGUACGUAAAGCUCUAUCAGCAGGGAAGAAAAUGACGGUACCUGUCGAAUAAGCCACGGCUAACUACGUGCCAGCAGCCGCGGUAAUACGUAAGUGGCAAGCGUUGUCCGGAUUUACUGGGUGUAAAGGGCGUGUAGCCGGGUUAACAAGUCAGAUGUGAAAUCUUGCGGCUCAACCGCAGAACUGCAUUUGAAACUGUUGAUCUUGAGUACUGGAGAGGUAGACGGAAUUCCUAGUGUAGCGGUGAAAUGCGUAGAUAUUAGGAGGAACACCAGUGGCGAAGGCGGUUUGCUGGACAGCAACUGACGGUGAGGCGCGAAAGCGUGGGGAGCAAACAGGAUUAGAUACCCUUGUAGUC